rnacentral:rRNA from 1 species
UCACCUCCUUUCUAUGGAGUUUAGUUUCUAAUAAGAAACCAAAACAACAAGAAAAAUUAGAUGGAUGAUUUAUUGGAUUACUUCUUUUGUUCUGUUUAGUUUUCAGGGAUUGUUUUCUCUGAGCAAUUGUUCUUUAAAA